rnacentral:misc_RNA from 1 species
GAUGGCAGAGGUUGCUACAAGACCUUAUAAGCCGAGAAGGCCCGUUUCUCGAAACAGCUUGUGUGCCAAUUGCUGGUUUGGCCAUCCUUUUCUGGCCUCUUGCCGUUGUGGCGAGCAUUCUGUUGUCUGUUCUCUCUAGCAUUUUCAUUGGACUCUAUGGUUCAGUUGUUGUAUUCCAGGAGAGAUCUUUCCGACGAGGAAUUGCUUAUGUGGUUGCCAUGGUUUCUGAGUUUG